UUCAGGAUCCUAGUGCGGCGAGUGAGCGGCAAGAGCUCAGAUUUGAAAUCUCACCUAGUGUGCGAGUUGUAAAUUGCAGGUUGGAGUCUCGGGUUAGACGUGUGUGCAAGUCCCUUGGAACAGGGCGCCACUGAGGGUGAGAGCCCCGUAGCGUGCAUGUCGACACCUGUGAGGCCCUUCUGACGAGUCGAGUUGUUUGGGAAUGCAGCUCUAAGUGGGUGGUAAAUUCCAUCUAAGGCUAAAUAUUGGCGAGAGACCGAUAGCGAACAAGUACUGUGAAGGAAAGAUGAAAAGCACUUUGAAAAGAGAGUGAAACAGCACGUGAAAUUGUUGAAAGGGAAGGGUAUUGGGCUCGACAUGGGAUUUACGCAUCGUUGCCUCUCGUGGGCGGCGCUCUGGGUUUUUCCUGGGCCAGCAUCGGUUUUUGUUGCAGGAUAAGGACAAUUGGAAUGUGGCUCCUCGGAGUGUUAUAGCCUUUUGUAGAUGCUGCGUAUGGGGACCGAGGGCUGCGGCGGACUUGUUUCGUCUCGGAUGCUGGCACAACGGCGCAAUACCGCCCGUCUGAAAACCGGGGGCCA
rnacentral:rRNA from 1 species